rnacentral:tRNA from 1 species
AGAGGCGUAGUUCAAUGGUAGAACAUCGGCCUUCAGAUCCGAGAAUGUGGGUUCGAUUCCUGUCGCCUCUGCCA